rnacentral:rRNA from 1 species
GGGGAGCAAACAGGAUUAGAUACCCUGGAAGUCCACGCAGUAAACGAUGAAUGUUAGUCGUCGGGUAGCUAGUCUAUUCGGUGAUGCAGCUAACGCAUUAAACAUUCCGCCUGGGGAGUACGGUCGCAAGAUUAAAACUCAAAGGAAUAGACGGGGACCCGCACAAGUGGUGGAGCAUGUGGUUUAAUUCGAAGAUACGCGAAGAACCUUACCUAGCCUUGACAUAUAUUAGAAUCUUUCAGAGAUGAGAGAGUGCCUUCGGGAGCUUUUAUACAGGUGCUGCACGGCUGUCGUCAGCUCGUGUCGUGAGAUGUUGGGUUAAGUCCCGCAACGAGCGCAACCCUCGUCACUAGUUACUAACGGUUCGGCCGAGGACUCUAGUGAGACUGCCUUCGUAAGGAGGAGGAAGGUGAGGACGACGUCAAGUCAUCAUGGCCCUUACGGCUAGGGCAACACACGUGCUACAAUGGUUGGGACAAUGAGACGCAAUACCGCGAGGUGGAGCAAAUCUAUAAACCCAAUCUCAGUUCGGAUUGUUCUCUGCAACUCGAGAACAUGAAGCUGGAAUCACUAGUAAUCGUAGAUCAGCCUAUGCGGCGGUG